GCGCCUCUGGGCUUAUUCGAGACCCAUUGACUCGCACACAUGUUAGACUCCUUGGUCCGUGUUUCAAGACGGGUCGGGUGGGUGACCGAUCUACUCCCCGCGAACCGCCGACCUCCGACUGGUCCACAGCAGCCAACGAGGAAGCUGUCUUCCGAUGGGCCACGGAGUCAGUCCGUGCGCCCUCAGAAGUGCUCACCCCUGCCACUUCGUCCAGGCAUCCGCGAACGGAGGAGGCGAAGAAGCCUAAGUAGGCCUCGCGACACCACGGUCACGCUACGAGCCGUGCGGCGCGCUGGCUAACAGCCGACGAUCCUAGUGAAAGAACCACCGGCCAACUGCCGUUGCACGCCCUUAAGGCCGUCUCGUAACCGGUUGCGGGGUCCUUCGGACGGGAAACAAAUGCGUUCUAUAACGCGAAAGCUCUAUGAAUGAGAGGCCGCCUCCGCGGAGCCAUAGUCAAUUCUCAAACGUAGAGUCCACGCCACAAAACUGAAUCCUCCCGCCACAGGAUUUCGAGGGCCCACCCGUUUGCCUCUGAGCAGUUUCACGUACUCUUGAACUCUCUCUUCAAAGUUCUUUGCAACUUUCCCUCACGGUACUUGUUUGCUAUCGGUCUCACGGCCGUAUUUAGCCUUAGGUGGAGUUUACCACCCGAUUAGGGCUGCACUCCCAAGCAACCCGACUCCAAGGAGAUCGCAUUCGACGGAGACCUAGCAGCUAUGGGCCUCGCACCCACUCUGGGUUACAGCCCCGGUCAGGGGGACUUGCUGCAGAGUCAACCGCCGGCACGCUCACUCCUAAACGCCACAUUGCCCGGCUCCCUCUCGAGAGCGGGCUUCGGCGCUGGGCUCUUCCCUUUUCGCUCGCCGUUACUCAGGGAAUCCCUGUUGGUUUCUUUUCCUCCGCUUAUUUAUAUGCUUAAAUUCAGCGGGUCAUCUCGUCUGAUCUGAGGUCGAGAUGUGUUGACUAGUACACUGCCCUCAGUACGUGGGAAGUGUCUGAACGCAUUCUCGAAAUGCGGCCUACACCUUCUAAAAUGGGAUUGCCAAAUAAAAUACCAUAUAAAUUUGAGCAGUGGAUCAAUGGGUCUACAAUAAUGAUAAAGAAUGUUUAAAAUGUGAUUUGCAAUUGCAGAGCAUUGAAAACAUUUUCAAUGGCAUUGUGGCCUUACCGCCUGGGGCCUGCCUGUCUGAGGGCCGGAGCAGACUUGCAAAAGAACAAAUUUGCCCAUGCGGCUGAGUCUAUUGAUUCCCUGUCACCUGGCAUUCAGGAUCCUCCUGGCUGAGAGCUCUGCCCAGUGUAUGUUUUGCUGCUCUGGAGAAGAUGAGCAAUGUUUUCCACAAGAUGAGACGGUCGAUGCUGGGUAAAGAUCAUAUCUGAAAGGGAAGAGAGCUCAUAGACUUUUGUCUACUUUUCAUGAUGANNNNNNNNNNNNNNNNNNNNNNNNNUCAAUAGACAAAGUCUAUGUAGGCUCUCUUCCCACUGAAUAGUCUUCUUAGCAUCAAACCGUCUCGUCUUCGUGGAGAAACGUUGUCCGUCUUCUCCGAGCGAUGAGCAUGCACUAGGGCUUGAGCUCUCUCGACCGGGGAGGAUCCUAUGAAUACUUGAGCCGACGAAAUCCAAUAGACUCCGACGCGGCCAAUUGGAAAAAUGAAUUUCCUUUGCAAGUCUUAUCCGACCCUCAGACAGGCGAGGCCCCGGGCAGGACCCGAGGCCGCAAUGUGCGUUCGAAAAAUCAGUGCUCAAUGUGUCCUGCAAUUCACACCAAAUCUCGCAGCUGGCUGCGUUCUUUCUUCUGAUUGACCUGUGAGCUGAGGAUCCACUGUCUAGAGUUGUA
rnacentral:rRNA from 1 species